CCUACGGGAGGCAGCAGUGGGGGAUAUUGCACAAUGGGGGGAACCCUGAUGCAGCGACGCCGCGUGGGUGAAGAAGCGCCUCGGCGCGUAAAGCCCUGUCAGCAGGGAAGAAAAUGACGGUACCUGAAGAAGAAGCCCCGGCUAACUACGUGCCAGCAGCCGCGGUACUACGGAGGGGGCACGCGUUAUCCGGAUUUACUGGGUGUAAAGGGGGCGCAGCGGGCUAUGAAAGACAGGAGUGAAAGCCCGGGGCACAACGGCGGGACUGCUCUUGCAACUGCUGGGCUGGAGUGCAGGCGAGGUAGGCGGAAUGCGUGGUGUAGCGGGGAAAUGCGUAGAUAUCAGGAGGAACACCGGUGGCGAAGGCGGC
rnacentral:rRNA from 1 species